rnacentral:rRNA from 1 species
GAUGAACGCUAGCGACAGGCUUAACACAUACAAGUCGAGGGGCAUCACGGGUAGCAAUAUCUGGUGGCGACCGGCGAACGGGUGAGUAACGCGUGGGCAACCUGCCCCUGAGCCCGGGAUAACAGUUCGAAAGGACUGCUAAGACCGGAUAUACUUGCGGGGAAGCAUUUCACUGCAAGGAAAGGGAACGCUCAGGGAUGGGCCCGCGUCCCAUUAGCUAGUUGGUGAGGUAACGGCCCACCAAGGCGACGAUGGGUAGCCGGCCUGAGAGGGUGAACGGCCACACUGGGACUGAGACACGGCCCAGACUCCUACGGGAGGCAGCAGUUGGGAAUCUUCGGCAAUGGGCGCAAGCCUGACCGAGCAACGCCGCGUGAGUGAUGAAGGUUUUCGGAUUGUAAAGCUCUGUCUUCCGGGACGAUAAUGACGGUACCGGAGGAGGAAGCCACGGCUAACUACGUG